rnacentral:misc_RNA from 1 species
GUGAAGAACGCAGCGAAAUGCGAUAAGUAAUGUGAAUUGCAGAAUUCAGUGAAUCAUCGAAUCUUUGAACGCACAUUGCGCCCCUUGGUAUUCCGAGGGGCAUGCCUGUUCGAGCGUCAUUAUAACCCCUCAAGCUCAGCUUGGUGUUGGGGCCUGCUGCACUGGCAGCCCUUAAAAUCAGUGGCGGCGCCAUCUGGCUCUAAGCGUAGUAAUUCUUCUCGCUAUGGAGUCCUGGUGGAUGCUUGCCAUCAACCCCCAAUUUUUCUAUGGUUGACCUCGGAUCAGGUAGGGAUACCCGCUGAACUUAAGCAUAUCAAUAAGCGGAGGA